CUCUCUAUCAUCAGUGCAAAUACCUUUCAUUCUCUGUAUAUCUUCCUCUUUCUCUUACCAAUAUAGUCUCUUCUCAUUCUCUCUCUCUCUCUCCGAUGCAAAUAUCUCUCAUUCUCUCUCCUCUCUCUCUCAUUGGCACAAACUUCUCUCAUUCUCUCUCCCCCUCUCUUUCUCUAUAGCACAAAUAACCCAAGCUUUCUCUCUCCCUCUAAAACUCUCUCCCUCUCUAUCUCAUUGGAACCGUGGCCUAUCUUCUUAUUCUCUCUUUCUCUCUCUCUCCUACGUCUCUCUCUCUCUCUCAUCAGAACCAUCCACUUGAAAUACCUCUUUCUUCUCUUUUUUGGUGAGUCAUUGAAAUCUAGCUACAUCUUUUUCAUUAAUUUAUUUGUGAUAUAUUUUGACAAAAAAAAAUUUUGACUUAUUAGAUGGUUGUACUUUUUGCAGGAAAAUGAUUUCGAAGGCUACAACAGC
rnacentral:lncRNA from 1 species